AUUGAACGCUGGCGGCAUGCCUUACACAUGCAAGUCGAACGGCAGCACGGGAGCAAUCCUGGUGGCGAGUGGCGAACGGGUGAGUAAUAUAUCGGAACGUGCCCAGUCGUGGGGAUAACGUAGCGAAAGCUACGCUAAUACCGCAUACGAUCUAUGGAUGAAAGCGGGGGAUCGCAAGACCUCGCGCGAUUGGAGCGGCCGAUAUCAAAUUAGGUAGUUGGUGAGGUAAAGGCUCACCAAGCCGACGAUCUGUAGCUGGUCUGAGAGGACGGCCAGCCACACUGGAACUGAGACACGGUCCAGACUCCUACGGGAGGCAGCAGUGGGGAAUUUUUGGACAAUGGGCGCAAGCCUGAUCCAGCAAUGCCGCGUGAGUGAAGAAGGCCUU
rnacentral:rRNA from 1 species